UACGAAGGGGGCGAGCGUUGUUCGGAUUUACUGGGCGUAAAGGGCGCGCAGGCGGCUCAUUUUGUCAGGCGUGAAAGCCCCGGGCUUAACCUGGGAACUGCGUUUGAUACGGAUGGGCUAGAGUUCGGGAGAGGAGAGUGGAAUUCCCAGUGUAGAGGUGAAAUUCGUAGAUAUUGGGAAGAACACCGGUGGCGAAGGCGGCUCACUGGCUCGUUACUGACGCUCAGGCGCGACAGCGUGGGGAUCAAACAGG
rnacentral:rRNA from 1 species